rnacentral:rRNA from 1 species
CCUACGGGUGGCUGCAGUCGAGAAUCUUGGUCAAUGCACGAAAGUGUGAACCAGCGACGCCGCGUGAAGGAUGAAGGCCCUUGGGUCGUAAACUUCUUUUACGGGAGAAACGGUAUCCCGUGAAUAAGCCACGGCUAACUACGUGCCAGCAGCCGCGGUAAUACGUAGGUGGCAAGCGUUGUCCGGAUUUACUGGGCGUAAAGCGAACGCAGGCGGACCUUUAAGUAGGAAGUGAAAGGUUGGAGCUCAACUCUAACACUGCUCCCUAUACUGGAGGUCUUGAGUGCCGGAGAGGAAGACGGAACAAGUUGUGUAGCGGUGAAAUGCGUUGAUAUAACUUGGAACACCAAUGGCGAAAGCAGUCUUCUGGACGAACUGACGCUCAGGUUCGAAAGCCAAGGUAGCAAACAGGAUUAGAUACCCUUGUAGUC